rnacentral:lncRNA from 1 species
GCAAGAAGUUGUCUUCUGUUCACUGUUGUUGUUGUUUCCUUUUAGGCUCUGAUAGAGUUGUUCAUGGAUUACUGUGAUCAUGUGUUUGAGGCCACUCUGGAGUGAUGUGUUGCUCCAAAAUUUCUGGGGCACUUGAUGCUUUUUUGAUGCUUGAGGAAGGUUUCCUUGGCUCCCCUCUGCUGUGUAUCUUCAUGUGAUAAUGAACGUGUAUGAACAUCUCCCAUCUGGCUUCUUCCACUUUCCAAAGCCUCCAUUUGCUUUGAUACCCACAUUCAUUUCAUUCUCCUUCAGUCCCUGAGGAGGAGUUCCAGAGUGGGAUGUGGACCUCAGUACACCACCACACAUGAGGGUCAGUCACCCUCCAUGAAGGCCUUCAGCAAUAUCCAAAGGACAAGUUGCUUAAGGCCUGUCUUCAAUGGAUAGACAUAUCUUUAAAAGCAUGCUGUCCUGGACCCUCAGGAAUCCCUCUUCCCUUUAAGUCCUGCUAACUCAAGUGCAGUUGAGUGUCACUCAAGAUGGAGCCUAUGAGGUGCUGAUAGGCAGCUGCCCCACUGCUCGAGGACUGCUAGAAAUCACAGCUUGAGCUUCAGGGAAACAACAAGCAGACUGACUUGAUCUCCCAGACACUUGUCUGACCAGAAAUACUUGAAAAAAUAAUUAUUAAUAAUAAUUGCAUAGUAAGCAUGUUGAUUACAGAACUUUCUCUUUCCUCAGUGGAAGGCCUAC